ensembl:snoRNA
UAUACUGUGACAUCAUUCCUUGUCAUUAAAUGCUCCUGGAAAACACAAUUUUUGUUCAAAGGACAGUACAAUAUUAAUUCAGUAUCUGGCAUCACUGGUUUAGUUGGCUCUGUUCAUGUUAGACCUGGUAUUUCUACUGAUACAGUA